rnacentral:rRNA from 1 species
CUGCCUACGGGGGGCAGCAGUGGGGGAUAUUGCACAACGGGGGAAACCCUGAUGCAGCGACGCCGCGUGGGCGAAGAAGUAUUUCGGUAUGUAAAGCCCUAUCAGCAGGGAAGAAGAAAUGACGGUACCUGAGUAAGAAGCCCCGGCUAACUACGUGCCAGCAGCCGCGGUAAUACGUAGGGGGCAAGCGUUAUCCGGAUUUACUGGGUGUAAAGGGAGCGUAGGUGGCAUGGUAAGCCAGAAGUGAAGACCCGGGGCUCAACCCCGCGGAUUGCUUUUGGAACUAUCAGGCUGGAGUGCUGGAG